GAUGAACGCUGGCGGCGUGCCUAAUACAUGCAAGUCGAGCGAACAGAUGAGAAGCUUGCUUCUCUGAUGUUAGCGGCGGACGGGUGAGUAACACGUGGGUAACCUACCUAUAAGACUGGGAUAACUCCGGGAAACCGGGGCUAAUACCGGAUAAUAUUUUGAACCGCAUGGUUCAAUAGUGAAAGACGGUUUCGGCUGUCACUUAUAGAUGGACCCGCGCCGUAUUAGCUAGUUGGUAAGGUAACGGCUUACCAAGGCGACGAUACGUAGCCGACCUGAGAGAGUGAUCGGCCACACUGGAACGUCGACACGGUCCAGCCGCCUACGGGGUGCAGCAGUAGGGAAUCGUCCGCAAUGGGCGAAAGCCUGACGGAGCAACGCCGCGUGAGUGAUGAAGGUCUUCGGAUCGUAAAACUCUGUUGUUAGGGAAGAACAAAUUUGUUAGUAACUGAACAAGUCUUGACGGUACCUAACCAGAAAGCCACGGCUAACUACGUGCCAGCCGCCGCGGUAA
rnacentral:rRNA from 1 species